GACGAACGCUGGCGGCGUGCUUAACACAUGCAAGUCGAGCGGUAAGGCUCCUUCGGGCGUACACGAGCGGCGAACGGGUGAGUAACACGUGAGUAAUCUGCCCUUCACUUCGGGAUAACCACCGGAAACGGUGGCUAAUACCGAAUACGACCAGUCUUCGCAUGAGGUGCUGGUGGAAAGUCUUUUCGGUGAAGGGUGUGCUCGCGGCCUAUCAGCUUGUUGGUGGGGUAAUGGCCUACCAAGGCUUCGACGGGUAGCCGGCCUGAGAGGGUGACCGGCCACAACGGGACUGAGACCCGGCCCAGGCUCCCACGGGGGGCAGGAGUGGGGAAUAUUGGAAAAAGGGGGAAAGCCUUAACCAGGAACGCCGGGUGGGGGGUGACGGCCUUUGGGUUUGAAACCUUUUUCAGUACCGGCGAAGGCCCCUGGCGGGGGGGGGCGGGAGGGUAAAAAAAAGGACCGGCCAAAUACC
rnacentral:rRNA from 1 species